rnacentral:rRNA from 1 species
CCUAAGCCGAGGCCGAAAGGCGUAGGCGAUGGACAACAGGUUGAUAUUCCUGUACCACCUCCUCACCAUUUGAGCAAUGGGGGGACGCAGGAGGAUAGGGUAAGCGCGGUAUUGGAUAUCCGCGUCCAAGCAGUUAGGCUGGGAAAUAGGCAAAUCCGUUUCCCAUAAGGCUGAGCUGUGAUGGCGAGCGAAAUAUAGUAGCGAAGUUCCUGAUUCCACACUGCCAAGAAAAGCCUCUAGCGAGGUGAGAGGUGCCCGUACCGCAAACCGACACAGGUAGGCGAGGAGAGAAUCCUAAGGUGAUCGAGAGAACUCUCGUUAAGGAACUCGGCAAAAUGACCCCGUAACUUCGGGAGAAGGGGUGCUCUGUUAGGGUGCAAGCCCGAGAGAGCCGCAGUGAAUAGGCCCAGGCGACUGUUUAGCAAAAACACAGGUCUCUGCGAAGCCGUAAGGCGAAGUAUAGGGGCUGACGCCUGCCCGGUGCUGGAAGGUUAAGAGGAGCGCUUAGCGUAAGCGAAGGUGCGAAUUGAAGCCCCAGUAAACGGCGGCCGUAACGAUAACGGUCCUAAGGUAGCGAAAUUCCUUGUCGGGUAAGUUCCGACCCGCACGAAAGGCGCAACGAUCUGGGCACUGUCUCAACGAGAGACUCGGUGAAAUUAUAGUACCUGUGAAGAUGCAGGUUACCCGCGACAGGACGGAAAGACCCCGUGGAGCUUUACUGCAGCCUGAUAUUGAAUGUUGGUACAGCUUGUACAGGAUAGGUAGGAGCCUUGGAAACCGGAGCGCCAGCUUCGGUGGAGGCAUCGGUGGGAUACUACCCUGGCUGUAUUGACCUUCUAACCCGCCGCCCUUAUCGGGCGGGGAGACAGUGUCAGGUGGGCAGUUUGACUGGGGCGGUCGCCUCCUAAAAGGUAACGGAGGCGCCCAAAGGUUCCCUCAGAAUGGUUGGAAAUCAUUCGCAGAGUGUAAAGGCACAAGGGAGCUUGACUGCGAGACCUACAAGUCGAGCAGGGACGAAAGUCGGGCUUAGUGAUCCGGUGGUUCCGCAUGGAAGGGCCAUCGCUCAACGGAUAAAAGCUACCCCGGGGAUAACAGGCUUAUCUCCCCCAAGAGUCCACAUCGACGGGGAGGUUUGGCACCUCGAUGUCGACUCAUCGCAUCCUGGGGCUGUAGUCGGUCCCAAGGGUUGGGCUGUUCGCCCAUUAAAGCGGUACGCGAGCUGGGUUCAGAACGUCGUGAGACAGUUCGGUCCCUGUCCGUCGCGGGCGCAGGAAAUUUGAGAGGAGCUGUCCUUAGUACGAGAGGACCGGGAUGGACGCACCGCUGGUGUACCAGUUGUUCUGCCAAGGGCAUCGCUGGGUAGCUAUGUGCGGACGGGAUAAGUGCUGAAAGCAUCUAAGCAUGAAGCCCCCCUCAAGAUGAGAUUUCCCAUUCCGCAAGGAAGUAAGAUCCCUGAAAGAUGAUCAGGUUGAUAGGUCUGAGGUGGAAGUGUGGCGACACAUGGAGCUGACAGAUACUAAUCGAUCGAGGACUUAACC